rnacentral:rRNA from 1 species
CCUACGGGAGGCAGCAGUGAGGAAUAUUGGUCAAUGGGCGCGAGCCUGAACCAGCCAAGUAGCGUGAAGGAUGACUGCCCUACGGGUUGUAAACUUCUUUUAUAAAGGAAUAAAGUGAGGCACGUGUGCCUUUUUGUAUGGACUUUAUGAAGAAGGAUCGGCUAACGCCGUGCCAGCAGCCGCGGUAAUACGGAGGAUCCGAGCGUUAUCCGGAUUUAUGGGGGUUAAAGGGAGCGUAGAUGGGUUGUUAAGUCAGUUGUUAAAGUUUGCGGCUCACCCGUAAAAUUGCAAUUGAUACUGGCAGUCUUGAGUACAGUUGAGGUAGUCGGCAUUCUUGGUGUAGCGGU